UACGGAGGAUCCAAGCGUUAUCCGGAAUCAUUGGGUUAAAGGGUCCGUAGGCGGUUUGGUAAGUCAGUGGUGAAAGCCCAUCGCUCAACGGUGGAACGGCCAUUGAUACUGCCAGACUUGAAUUAUUAGGAAGUAACUAGAAUAUGUAGUGUAGCGGUGAAAUGCUUAGAGAUUACAUGGAAUACCAAUUGCGAAGGCAGGUUAACUACUAAUGGAUUGACGCUGAUGGACGAAAGCCGUGGGUAGCGAACAGG
rnacentral:rRNA from 1 species